AGAAUACUCAAGCUAUGCAUCCAACGCGUUGGGAGCUCUCCCAUAUGGUCGACCUGCAGGCGGCCGCGAAUUCACUAGUGAUUCGCCCGCCGCGCCCCGCGCCCGGCCCGCCGCCCCCGCCCGGGCAGCAGUGGGGAUCUCCGCAAUGGGCGAAAGCCUGACGGAGCAACGCCGCGUGAGGGAUGAAGGCCUCUGGGCUGUAAACCUCUUUUCUCAAGGAAGAAGAUAUGACGGUACUUGAGGAAUAAGCCACGGCUAAUUCCGUGCCAGCAGCCGCGGUAAUACGGGAGUGGCAAGCGUUAUCCGGAAUUAUUGGGCGUAAAGCGAGCGUAGGCGGUUAAUCAAGUUGGUGGUGAAAGCCCAGAGCUUAACUCUGGAACUGCCAUCAAUACUGAUUGACUAGAGAUUGGUAGAGGAAAAUGGAAUUCCUAGUGUAGAGGUGAAAUUCGUAGAUAUUGGGAAGAACACCAGUGGCGAAGGCGAUUUUCUGGGCCAAUUCUGACGCUGAGGUUCGAAAGCGUGGGUAGCAAACAGGAUUAGAUACCCUGGUAGUCCACGCCGU
rnacentral:rRNA from 1 species